AUACCCUAUUAUUUUUAAUGUAAAAUUUAUUAGGCUUGAGUAUUAAUAGUUAUGAUCUUUAAACUCAAAGAAUUUGGCGGUAUUAUAAUCUUUUUAGAGGAACCUGUGUGUAAUCGAUAGUCCACGUUGAACCUUACUUACUUUAAUUUUCUUGUAUAUCGCUGUUUGAUGAAAAUGUCUUAAGAUAUUAAUUUUCUUAAUAGUAAUAUAUAAGCUAAAAUUUCAAGUCAAGGUGCAGUAAUAAUUAAGUUUUUUGAUGGGUUACAAUAAAUUGUAUUUAUUAAAAUUGAUGGAUUAUUAUUUUGGUUAAUAAUAUGAAAAUGGAUUUAAUUGUAAUUUUAUAAAGAUUAUUAAGGUGAAUUUAUGGCUCUUUAAUAUGUA
rnacentral:rRNA from 1 species